GAGAGGUUAGCGGAACUCCAUGUGUAGCGGUGAAAUGCGUAGAUAUAUGGAAGAACACCAGUGGCGAAGGCGGCUAACUAGCCCGAGACUGACGCUCAUUCUCGAAAGCGUGGGUAGCAAAUAGGAUUAGAUACCCUAGUAGUCCACGCCGUAAACGAUGAGUACUAGGUGUUGGGGAAACUCAGCGCCGAAGUUAACACAAUAAGUACUCCGCCUGGGUAGUACGUUCGCAAGAAUGAAACUUAAAGGAAUUGACGGGGGCCCGCACAAGCAGUGGAGCAUGUGGUUUAAUUCGACGCUACGCGAAGAACCUUACCAGGACUUGACAUCUGAUUAAAGGCUCUAGAGAUAGAGAGAUAGUUAUAGUCAAGACAGGUGGUGCAUGGUUGUCGUCAGCUCGUGUCGUGAGAUGUUGGGUUAAGUCCCGCAACGAGCGCAACCCUCGUCCUUAGUUGCCAUCAUUAAGUUGGGGACUCUAAGGAGACCGCCGGUAUAAGCCGGAGGAAGAUGGGGAUGACGUCAAAUCAUCAUGCCCUUUAUGUCCUGGGCGACACACGUGCUACAAUGGCCGGUACAAAGAGAAGCAAGACCGCGAGGUGGAGCGAAUCUCAUAAAGCCGGUCUCAGUUCGGAUUGGAGUCUGCAACUCGACU
rnacentral:rRNA from 1 species